rnacentral:rRNA from 1 species
UACGUAGGGGCCUAGCGUUGUCCGGAAUUAUUGGGCGUAAAGAGCUCGUAGGCGGUUCGGCAAGUCGGAUGUGAAAUCUCCACGCUUAACGUGGAGGGGCCAUUCGAAACUGCUGUGACUCGAGUCCGGUAGGGGAGUGUGGAAUUCCUGGUGUAGCGGUGAAAUGCGCAGAUAUCAGGAGGAACACCAAUGGCGAAGGCAGCACUCUGGGACGUGACUGACGCUGAGACGCGAAAGCGUGGGGAGCGAACAGG